rnacentral:rRNA from 1 species
UACGAAGGGUGCAAACGUUGCUCGGAAUCAUUGGGCGUAAAGCACACGUAGGCGGCCUAUUAAGUCGGAUGUGAAAUCCCUCGGCUCAACCGAGGACGUGCAUACGAAACUGGUAGGCUCGAGUAUGGAAGAGGGUCGCGGAAUUCCCGGUGUAGAGGUGAAAUUCGUAGAUAUGGGGAGGAACACCGGUGGCGAAGGCGGCCAUCUGGACGGCUAUUGACGCUGAGACGCGAAAGCGUGGGGAGCAAACAGG